rnacentral:miRNA from 1 species
UAAGUGCUCUCAGUUGGGAUGA